rnacentral:tRNA from 1 species
GCCAUAGCUUAGCAGCAGAGCAUCUGCUUUGCAUGCAGAAGGUCCUGGGUUCAAUCCCCAGCAUCUGUG